rnacentral:rRNA from 1 species
UACGUAGGGCGCAAGCGUUAUCCGGAAUUAUUGGGGCGUAAAGGGCGCGUAGGCGGCUUGAUAAGUCAAAGGUGAAAUCCCUCGGCUCAACUGAGGAACUGCCUUUGAAACUGUCAGACUUGAGGCCGGGAGGGGGUAGCGGAAUUCCCAGUGUAGCGGUGAAAUGCGUAGAUAUUGGGAGGAACACCGGUGGCGAAGGCGGCUACCUGGACCGGUUCUGACGCUGAUGCGCGAAAAGCGUGGGUAGCAAACAAGG